ACCCGCUUGUCUUUGCUUUGGGGUUGAAUUCCUGUUGUCAAUAAAGCAGCGGUUCGGCCGGGCCCGGGGGGGGGGAAUGGAGCUGGGGGGGGGCUGAUAACGCUUAUCAGGAGCCCCCAGGGACCGGCCAGGCCCUGCGGGAGCAGAUGGCACCGUGGCACUGUGUCACCGUGGCACUGCAUCAGUGUCACUGCAUCCCUGUGUCACCGCAUCGCCGUGUCACCGCAUCCCUGUCACUUCAUCCCUGG